GCAUCCCACCCCCGCCCCCCCACCCCCAUCCCCACGCUGGCCACGCGGUGGAGGGACGCUGCGGGGAAGCCGGGAGGAAAGCGCAAACGCGCGUGUCGCCCAGGACAGCGAGACAGCGGUCAGCGGUCGGUGGGCUCGGAUUGGACAUUCCCAGCGCCUCGCUGGUCCCACGGAAAUGGAGAAAUAGCUUCGGGAAGGAAGUCUGAGAUCAGAGGGACAGCCGGUUUGGUUUCUUCUGAGGCCUCUCUCCUUGGCUUGCAGACAGCUGUGUCUUUCCUCUGUACAGGCUACUCUAUAUCAGAACAAGGCUGAGAUGGGGCCUGAAAGGUGAUGACCAUCUCUCAGAGAGCCUGGCUUUGGAGCCUGAUUGCGGUAACUAAUGAGGCUGGGAGUGUCCCCUUUGAGGAAGAGACAGUUUGGCUGCACAAGGCCUGACCUCCAGCUCCCGUCCUUGCCCUGACCUUCUGCCUGCAGCACAGCAGCCUGAGUGGUCCUUUUAAAGCAUGAGUCAGGUUGGGAUGCACAUUACUCAACACCUGUCAUCUCCCCAUCUCACUUGGAGCAAAAUUCGAACAGCCAUCCUUCUUCAAACUUUCCAGGCUUGCUCCCACCUAAGGUGGAAGAAGUUAACUACAUGAUGUCCAGACUGUAGCCAUGACAGAAGCUGCCACAAUU